rnacentral:rRNA from 1 species
AGCGAACGCUGGCGGCAGGCUUAACACAUGCAAGUCGAACGGGCAUCUUCGGAUGUCAGUGGCAGACGGGUGAGUAACACGUGGGAACGUACCCUUCGGUUCGGAAUAACUCAGGGAAACUUGAGCUAAUACCGGAUACGCCCUUUCGGGGAAAGGUUUACUGCCGAAGGAUCGGCCCGCGUCUGAUUAGCUUGUUGGUGGGGUAACGGCCUACCAAGGCGACGAUCAGUAGCUGGUCUGAGAGGAUGAUCAGCCACACUGGGACUGAGACACGGCCCAGACUCCUACGGGAGGCAGCAGUGGGGAAUAUUGGACAAUGGGCGCAAGCCUGAUCCAGCCAUGCCGCGUGAGUGAUGAAGGCCUUAGGGUUGUAAAGCUCUUUUGUCCGGGACGAUAAUGACGGUACCGGAAGAAUAAGCCCCGGCUAACUUCGUG